UACAGAGGUCUCAAGCGUUGUUCGGAUUCAUUGGGCGGAAAGGGUGCGUAGGCGGCGCGGUAAGUCGGGUGUGAAAUCUCGGAGCUUAACUCCGAAACUGCAUUCGAUACUGCCGUGCUUGAGGACUGGAGAGGAGACUGGAAUUUACGGUGUAGCGGUGAAAUGCGUAGAUAUCGUAAGGAACACCAGUGGCGAAGGCGGCCAACUGGUCCGGUACUGACGCUGAGGUGCGAAAGCGUGGGGAGCAAACAGG
rnacentral:rRNA from 1 species